rnacentral:snoRNA from 1 species
GCUCUCCAGAUCCUUACCCCUCUGAUCGAAACAUUGGUCUGAGGGACUAUAAAAAGAGGAAAAGUAAUAUUAAAAUAGAUGUGGAUUCUCUAGUGUAAUACAAGUUCAUUUCAAACAAAC